GACGAACGCUGGCGGCGUGCUUAACACAUGCAAGUCGAACGAAGUGGCGAACGGGUGAGUAACGCGUAAUCAACCUCCCCUUCAGAGGGGGACAACAGUUGGAAACGACUGCUAAUACCGCAUACUGAAGGAGGGGUUUGCGUCGGAUUAGCUAGUUGGUGGGGUAACGGCCCACCAAGGCGAUGAUCAGUAGCCGGUCUGGAAAGAGGGACGGCCACAAUGGGACUGAGACAAGGCCCAGACUCCUACGGGGGGCAGGAGGGGGGAAACUUCCGCAAUGGACGAAAAUCUGACGGAGCCAAGCCGCGUGAGUGAUGACGGGCUUCGGGUUGUAAAGCUCUGUUUAUCGGGAAGCGGUACCUGAAUAGAAAGCCACGGCUAACUACGUGCCAGCAGCCGCGGUAAUUC
rnacentral:rRNA from 1 species